AGCCAGCAGCCGGGCGCUUCAUGACAGACAGGGUGUCUUGGCUAUCGCAGCCAUGUUUGAGAGAAUCACAGAGGCCCACAUGAGUCGCUUGAUGCGGAGGAUCGAGGCUAGGUUUGACAGGACCGAGGCUAGGUUUGACAAGAUCAAGCCAUUGGUGGAGACCAACGCCCCGACACACACGCCUCAACUCCAGCAAGAUGAUGUGGUGUUGGCUAAACCAUGCAGCAUGGUGAUGGAGCUGCUGGAGUUGGAUAGGAGUCUGGAACAAACAGACAAGAGGAACAAGAUGCAACAUUUUCUUGAAACUGUCGGAGGGGCAGGUUUAGGGGCAGCCAUUCACCGUAUGCUACGCUGAGUGGCAAAUGAGGUACUCGCCCAGUACAGCUUGCGGGGCAGACGGGCCAAAAUGUCCUUUGAUGACCUCAUUCUGUGCAAGAUUA